rnacentral:rRNA from 1 species
UACAGAGGUGGCAAGCGUUGUUCGGAAUUACUGGGCGUAAAGGGCUCGUAGGUGGCCAACUAAGUCAGACGUGAAAUCCCCAGGCUUAACCUGGGAACUGCGUCUGAUACUGGAUGGCUUGAAUUCGGGAGAGGGAUGCAGAAUUCCAGGUGUAGCGGUGAAAUGCGUAGAUAUCUGGAGGAAUACCGGUGGCGAAGGCGGCAUCCUGGACCGAGAUUGACACUGAUGAGCGAAAGCCAGGGGAGCAAACGGG